GAUGAACGCUGGCGGCGUGCCUAAUACAUGCAAGUCGAGCGAACAGACGAGGAGCUUGCUCCUCUGACGUUAGCGGCGGACGGGUGAGUAACACGUGGAUAACCUACCUAUAAGACUGGGAUAACUUCGGGAAACCGGAGCUAAUACCGGAUAAUAUAUUGAACCGCAUGGUUCAAUAGUGAAAGACGGUUUUGCUGUCACUUAUAGAUGGAUCCGCGCCGCAUUAGCUAGUUGGUAAGGUAACGGCUUACCAAGGCAACGAUGCGUAGCCGACCUGAGAGGGUGAUCGGCCACACGGGAACUGAGACACGGUCCAGACUCCUACGGGAGGCAGCAGUAGGGAAUCUGCCGCAAGGGGCGAAAGCCUGACGGAGCAACGCCGCGUGAGUGAUGAAGGUCUGCGGAUCGUAAAACGCUGUUAUUAGGGAAGAACAAAUGUGUAAGUAACUAUGCACGUCUGGACGGUACCUAAGCAGAAAGCCACGGCUAACUACGU
rnacentral:rRNA from 1 species